GUCUGAGGAGUGUGAAGGAACACUUUAACAGUGAACACUUUAACAGUGAACACUUUAACAGUGAGUAUGUGCUCUGACUUCUUCGCUCCCCACAGGAGACAGCCUGAACACAGCCCAGCAUCCCAUGUGUUUGAGCAGGAUCAGCAUGGCCAAGGUGCAAGAAGUGGAUGGGAAAACCCAGCCCUUUGGUUCCCGUUGCCAGGUCACUGCUGCAUGAAAGGGAGCUGAGAAGAGAAGCGAAUGUACCAACAUAUCCUCUUAUUGCUUGUCCACAUGGAAAACCACAACAAACCUCUCCUGGAGAGAGCUUCUCCUGCCUUCCAGGAGCACAGGAAGCCCCUUGGAGCCUCAAUUCUCAGAGUUCCCAAGCAGAGCCAAGGCCUGGCUCUGCCCAUGGAGGCUUUCCCAUGGAUGCUGCACAAUAGCUACACAACCACACAGGCAGCAGGUGAAGCACCACGACAGACAAACAACAGGCACAGUAACACACAUGGUAAGUUAAAGUCAUUUCCCUGCCCAUCACCAUUCACCGAGUGCUGAAUUCUGCACUUUGCUGUGAAUGGAGUAACGUCUUUGGUGCAAAAUGGUGGACUUGAGCAUGGGUUGAAUUGAGUUUCUAACCGAGGGCUCAGGCACCAGCUGGUGAGUCCCUGCUGCUGCCUUCUUGGUCGUUUUGGGCUGUUACCCAAAAUUAAUGGCCUGAUGAACUUAGUGCCCUGAGACAAAUGGAUUUGAAACUGGGUUCCUUUGGUUUUGGUUUCAUGCAGCCAGAGUUCUUAGUAGCUGAAUGCUGGGUGGCUGGAGAGGGUUAAAACCAACCAAACACUGUUACUAAAUGACAUACCUAAGGUGCUGUCAGCUACGGGGCCUUUGUGGCCAUGGAGAGCUCUUCUCUCCAGCCACCACCAGCAAAGCAAGCCAGGGCACAGGCACGAGGUUCAGUUAUUGCUUGAGCCAGCUUCGGUGCUGCUUCUGUUCCCAGCACACGUGCUGAGUGAUCAGGUUUCUUCCCCAUUCCCUGCGAGGGCUUUUCUUGGUCCAUUACACAUCUUGGGCAAUGCAUACGGCUCCCUGCCUGCAAUCCUUCCUUCCCCACAGCUCCCAUUUGCAAACGUGGAGCAAUUCUGGCACACAACUCUUUUGGCCUGCAAAGAAGGUGGUGGGGGUAGGAGAGGGCUUCUUCAAGGGAGGUUUUGUACAUAACCACAUUUUGGGUCUGCUCUCCCAGCAGCACACUUUGGAACCUCCAAGGUGACAAAAGGACCAGGAUCAUCUGGACAGCACAGCACCAGCUCUCCACUGCAAGCAAUAAGGUAAGCAAAACAGCUUGGGGUAUUGCUGAAGCAGGAGGCAAAUGUGAAGCUGAGAUGUUUGAGGUUUGGGUGAGCCGGUGCCUGAACCUGCUCUAACUCUGGCCCCACAGAAGCCCUCGUGCUCGUGUCUUUGCCCCUCUACUCUCUCUCCCCCACAGCAGAGCUGCCUUGGGUUUUGUUUCCUUGUCUGACUUGUUUCCUAAUCUAGCUCCAAUGUGGUCAGUCCACGUGCCAGCAAACUGGCAUUGCUCACCCAGGCAGGCACCUGCAGGACAGGUAGGAACAAGCAGAAAGUCAGGGAAACCUACCUCUUUGGCUGCAGUCAUUGACUGUAACUCGGUACGUGUGCCUGUGCUUCUCCACACACCACCAAGGCAUUGUUCCCAAGCACUGCUGGGUCCGGAUACUGUGAUGCUGUAACCUGUUUUCUUGGGUGUAACUGUAUUUCAGGCUACCUAGAAAUACAGGACUGUCUUACCUGGAAAAGGCCACUGGGUUUCUGGAGAGAGCACUUUACCUUUCAGGGGUGAAGAACCCAGCUCCUCCCUGCAGGCACUUGCCAAGGCAAAAACCAGGGCAGGAACCUGCUCCUCUCUCCCCAGGUCCAAUGGAACAGCACAGGGCCAGGCUCCCUCCCCUCCAAAGCCCACCCCCUGCUCUACCUCCACAUGCUCUGAAACGCUGUUUGCGUUGCUCACAACGUGUUUGGGAUCAGCUGUCUAUGGAGGAUGCAGCUCUCUUCAUGCUUGGGCUGGAACUGAGCAAAGUGCAGGAACAAAAAGUGCUUUCAAGCCACGUUUGCAGCAGGCUUGCUCUGAGCUGCACUUAGAGCAACCCCUGCCAGCACUCAGCGCUGCUCUGCCAGGGCUGGACCUCCAGCUACUCAUUAAUCACUGCACUGGGUUCAGAUGGAGACACAAAGCAGGGUAAGCCCCCACCAAACCUAUGUCUUGGGUGCAGACCAAUGUCUUAGUGGCUGCUCUGCCGGAGCCCCCCCAGCCUGCAGGAGAAGGGAGCCCGCUCUGAGGGAAAUGAUGUAAAAUGCCUUCAGAUGCCUUUUCACUUCUUUUUAUUUAAUUCCAUAAAUAUUUUCAUAAGGCUCAGUGUCUUUACAACACUUCUUUAAACACUUUUUCUUUUGUUUUAUACACACAACUUUGACACUUGUUUGACAGGGUCAAACAGUCCAAUAGAAACAAAAUAAUAAAACUGGCAAGUGCGGAUUCA
rnacentral:lncRNA from 14 species